rnacentral:lncRNA from 9 species
GCAGACGGCGGAGAGCUGGGAUGGAGCGCGCCUUGGCCCGCUGGCCUUGGCUGCAGCUCCUCGGGAGAGCCGGGGCGCCCACGCGAGAACCUCCCUACCUGAGGACGCUGGGAACACGGAUUCCUGGAUCCCACCAGCCUACGAAGAAAGCCACGGGCGGCGACCCCUGGGACCAGGACGACCAAGGAGGAGGACGACCAGAACUGACCAGCCAGCCCCCUUGGCUAAAGGCUUAGACCUGUGCCCUAGUGAGGGGGCAUUGGUCGCCAACCCCUGACCUUUGCUAUGCUUCUGCCUUGUUGCUCUGAUACUUGCCUCUAUGUCUCUGCCUGUGUUAACCUGCCAGCGCCCUGGAGGGUUGCCAUCCCCAGGGAGGUGUCAGUCUUUCUCGCUCCACUUGUUGUCGCCCGAAUGACGUCCUGAACGGAAGGGUCCCUUUGGGAACGUCUCGGGAGGCCGACCUGGGCCAAGGGCACAACCAGCAUCUCACUGGCAAUUCCAAGGCCCUGGGUGGGCUUCUGGAAUGAGCAUGAGCCCCGACGUCAUGCCAUGGAACUGCCAGGGGCACCCCCCCUCCUUUGAGCUCUCCCUGUCCCUCCUGGGGGGACAGGGACGAGAAGAGCAGUCUCCCAGGGGGUUGUGAGUAUUGAAUGAGAUGAAGUCGCCUCGGGCAGGGCCAGGCAUAGAGGAGGCAGUCGGCAAAUGUUUGUUGAUAAAGUUUGGCCGAUCAGUCCAGCCCCGGCCCGCUCCCGUGUCUCACCGUCUCAUUUAUUCUCCCACAGCACUCCGGAUGGCCCCUGGCCACGGGGCUCUGCCCGCACCAGGUAGGGCUCCACCCAGACGGGCGUCGGGCUGACAUGAGUCAGGGCACGCACUGUGCCUGUGGUCAUUUCUAGAACUUUCUGUGUUCUCGGCCUGCGUUGUUACUGCGUCAGGCAUACGUGGGAGUGAGGCGGCCCCACUGACAGGAGUAUGAAUUUGGCUUCGAUUUGAGUAAUUUUAAAAGGUGACCUCCAGCCCCCACCCCAGGGGCACAGGACUGAUUUACGUGUCCUGAGGUCCUGAGGCUGGAGGAGCGUUAGCAUCUUGUCGCAUUGCUGGCAAGAGAAGGGGUCCAAGUUGGCCCCUGGGUGCCAUUUGUGGCUGCCCCUUACCCCCCCUGCCCCAGAGUUCUCCUGAGCGCUCUUUGAUUUCCAAUCAAACAUUUGACAGUGGGACAGCCUGUUUGAAAUCCCAGCUGCCCAGGGUGGUCUCGGGGGGUCUUGGGUGGCCCCAGUGCUGGUACCAUGUGCUGGGACCACCUCUCAAUAACGGUGUGACCUUAAAUACGUCGCUUAACUUCUCCGGGUCUCAGUUCUUUUCAUGGCCUAAAUGGGGAUUAGGAAAAAAAAAAAAAACACACACAAAAAAACACCCGCGUUUAUCUACCCCACAGGGUGCUUUGGAAGGCCAAAGGAUGUAACUGCUAUGAAAGCGCUUUGUCAAUUGCUGGGGAAAUUGCGAGAUGCCUCACAUUGGGGGGCUGUCCCUCAUUGUCCCACGCUCAGCCCUGUCCCCCCUCCUCACCCCAGGAAUACCAGCCAGCACCCCAUAAAUAAAUUCCGGAAUAAGUAAAAACAGUUAAUUCAACAAACAUUUUCUGCACCUCCUACCCUAUGCCCAGCCGACCAGGCCUGAUGAACACAGUCUCGAGAGAGCUAAUUGGGGUCCUCGUUUGACCGCCACUUUCUUCUCGUCCCCUUUUAAGCCAACCAGUUUUGUCCGGACGAGACAAAAACAACGGGGCCCGCUUUAGAGAACCGGGGCUUGGGGUCCACAAUGGCUCCCAGACUUCUGAAAGGGGCUGAUUGGAUUAUGUGGCAAAUGAAGGUGGAAGGAUGACUUGGAGGGUGACAAAUGAAGGGGGCGGAGAUCCGCUGCGAGUUAAUCCAGGCCAUUAGGAGGGACCUUUUGUCUCCUGAGGCUGGCAGGAGCUUUUACCACUGGGUCUUACGUCCUUAAUGUAAGGACGCAUAAUUUAUGGUCCGUGAAAGCCCAGGCCCUGGUGAGAUCUGAGCGGGCUGUAAAAUUGAGCGUCCGGCUACCGGGGCGUGAGGACAGUGGAGGGGGACGGUGGUGUCUCCCUUUGCAGUUGGCAAGGGCCUUUUCGCAACCAUCCAUUCACGUGAACCUCACAACUCCCUGUCCCGACCCGGGGCUGGCCUGCGCCUCCGCGGGGAACAGAGGCCGUCAAGGGCAUCCCAAGGGAGCGUGUCCCCCCCCACCCCCAGCCCCUCCCAUCUCGACGAGGCCUUCCCUCCCUCUUCCUAACCUGGCCUUCUCUGAGCCUCCAGGCGACCCCUGCCUCCUUUCUCGUCACUCUCUCUUUCCUUUCACAGCCAAGCUUCUCGAAAGGUCUGUCUUCACUCGCUGGCUUCCUUGCUCACCUCCAAUGUCCUCUCCAACCCACUGCUUCUUGACCUCUGCGCCGUCGAGCGGCUCUCGCGAAGGUAAUGACUUUUCUGGAGCUUCACCCCCGACACGUCUCUGGCGCACGGACACAUGGACACACAGACACACGCUCCGCAGACACAUCUGGUCUUCCUCGUACAUGCCUUGUGGCUCUGACUCCCUUCUGUUGACAGACGCCCCCUCUCCCCUCUCUGGAGACGUCUUAGAGUCACCUGCUCCUGGCCUCUGUCCUUCUUAGCCUCUCCCAGGAAUAGCCAGACCUCCCACCUUCUGGAACCUGCCUGGGUUGGAGUCUGAACCACUGAGCGCUGAGGCCUUGGGGUAGGUCACUGUUUUCCAGCCACCUCUUUCUCAGUUGUGGAAGUGAGGUCUUUCCCUAGCAGGCCCGGUGGGCUCUCUUGCAGGGAGGGACCAGGGACUUGAGGUCAAGAAAGGGCUCGUGGGAACAUGCAGUUGGGGUCGCCAUCAGCUUUUUCUCACAGGUUAAGUGCCCUCAGGGAGGACCAGUGAGAGAAGACGGUGGCGGGGGGGGGGGGGGGGAAGCAAAAAAGAGAAAGGGAAAAGGAACCAAGGACCAAAAAAAUAAAAGUGGGGAAGGGAGCCUUGGAAAAGAUUAAAAUCCACCCCAAACACAUCCAGGGAAAAUUUUCUUCUUGGGUUAGGGGCGAAGAAAGUACAUGGGAAAAAAGGUUUUAAAUUGAUGAUCCCAGCGACAAAUCCCAGGAGGCUUUCAAGUCAACUCGCCCCAUUUUUGUGUUUUUAACUCCUUCUGUCAGGUCUCACCUCUUUACCUUCUGCAUCCCAGUUAAACCCUCCUCGGCCCCCUUGGCUGGUGAUUAAACCCCGAAGGUACACGGGGCCGACAGAAAGGGCCCCGCCCCACCCCCCAGCUGUGUUUUUCAAUUUUCCUCCACUGCGUGCCCUUCAUGAACACAGGGCUAAUCUUGGGCCCUUGUCGAGGAAGAGGCUGAUGAAGUAGCUGCUGGGUUCCAAUAUUCAACUCCCAAGGCGCCUUCUUUGUCUGAGAAGGAAAAACACACUGGUCACCACAAUAAGGUGAACUGGUGGCCGUGGGGCGGGGGCCACGGGCCUGAGGCCACCCUUGCAAUAUGGGGGCCGGAGCCCAGUGUCCACCUGCUCCCCAUUUGUCCCUGCCUCUGUCCCUGCUCAUGGUCCCAUCCUGCGGGGUUGAAAGCUGAAGGCAGCUCUGGGCCACGGAUAGGGCUGCUUGGUAGAAAGUUCCUUUGUUUGACCCCCCAGUGGGCCGGGGCGAGCCAAGCCCUGGGGGUGCUGUUUCCAGUCCUUGCUCGUCCCCGACGUGUUUCAGGACUGCCUAGCAUGAAACAUUUGAGAUUCUCAGACGAGAGAAAAGUCAGGUCAAGGGUAUAGACCCUGCGGCAUUAUCACGGAGUCAGUGGCCAAAGGCCCCGUCCAGGUCAAGAAGUGAGCGGGCAGUGGUACCCACAGCCCCCCUCCCCCCCAUGGAAGGGCACGAUUCAGGCUGGCAUUUGGCCCCCACACACUGAUGAGACUGAGGUUCAGAGGGCCAGACGUUUGUCAGGAUCAUUCAGAUCCGACACGAGAACCUGUCGCCACUCCUACCCCCCAAACGUCGCCCGCCCCCCCCCCGUAUGUCCUGGGCCCCACCUGAAUCCCCAUUCCCCCCCUUUCUGUCCUGAUCCUUGACCGCCAGCGUCCAUGAAUAGAAACCUGCCUGUGUUUUUUUUAAAUUGUUUUUAUUACAGUUAAUGGACAAUGUCCUGUCAAUUUCUGCGAUGCCGCAGAGUGACCCAGUCAUACGUAGACAAAUACGUCUGUGCAUAUUCUUUCUCUCACAUUCGCCUCCAUCGUGUUCCAUCACAAGCGAGUAGACAGAGUUCCCUGUGCUGCCCAGCAGGGAAACCUGCCCUCAGGAAUCCUGAGUUCUGGGCAUUUCACCCCCUAAGGUCGCUGAAUCAAGGUUAGAUCAUGCCAGUUAAUUUCCAGGCUCCAGCGAGAUCUUCAGCCGAACAGAAAAAAACUAAGGGAGAUGUGAGAUGUUUGGAGCAAGAAACUUUUAUUAGGUGAAAAGCCCUCCCUUCUUGAACUUAGCUGUUGGCAUGCGUGGAUCAGAAUUAGAUGCUCUUUGCAAGUUAGCAAAAGCAACCCUAGUCCCCUCCGCUAAAUGCCAUCAAAGGAUGUCCAGGGGGCCGGUUGGGGUGACCGCCUCUUUUGGCGGCGGUGACCCACGUGUUGCCCAGACCUGGGAACUGGAUGAGGGCGAGCACCUUUGAGAGUAGGGAUCCCACGAAAACCUACCCUCCGUGCAGCUUUUGCAGAGUAAAAUAAUAGAGCAGUUGCUGGUGUUUCUAAAAAGAUUUCACUUUAUUAAUUUGUUUUUAUUACUGUUGAUUCACAAUGUUCUGUCAAGUAAGAGGAUUUAUUUUAAAUAGGAAAAAAAAAUCCAUAGGACCGUCAACUACAUACCAAUAAGGAAAACCAAGUCCUGAAUAUUCUGGCAUUUGAGAAGCUGGGGAGGGGUGCAGGCAGUUGUGUGCUGAGCCCCCCAGCAGAGGGGUCUGUGUGAAUUGCUCAGCCUCGGGUGUGGAGGGGCCGGUUUUAACCUGUGUCCUUGUUUCUGUGGCACACGGGACCCCUGGGCCCCACUCUCCAAGCCCAGAGGUCCUGCCAGGCUUCCUGCCUUGGUCUUCCGACUCCCAGGGCCCACGGGUUCCAGAAUCCAUCAUGAAAUCAGUCCUGGAGGCUCAGGAGUGAGGCCAGGAGACACCCCCCCUUUCUUCUGAUUUUCCGUUUUGUUUUUUGUUUUUUUCUGCUGUUACUGCUCUCCCUCUGUUCUCCACCCUGGCUUCUCUCCCUUACUCUAUCACCAUGUCCUAGUCUGGUCCCCUGGGGGUGCCCGAGUCCAGCCCACUCCUCCUUGGGGUGUCCCAGCACCAGCCUGGCACCAAGUGGGGUUCAGUAAGAGUAUGUGGGAUGUCUGCUUGGACAGGUGAGUCAAUGAAGGAACUCGACUGCCCGACUCAGCUGCUAGACGGGAGUUGUGGGGACGGCAGGGAGUUGCAGGUCCGGGGGGAGGGUGGAUGUACUUUCCCUGAGAGGAGUGGGCGCCGCCCACCCCCAGCCCCGUUUGAGUGGGGCCUCACCAGUGUCACCCCUUCAUUCACUCACGCGUCCACCCCGUCAUUCAACAGUUGAUCCUUACUGAGCAAGCCCACCGCCUGGCCCCGGGCUGGGCACCUGCCACGCUAGGGCGUCCCUUGAUGGCCUCUACCUCCCCAGGAGGGCGGGCCGGGGGGCUGCUUCUGCUGAGGGUGGCCUUGCGACUCCAGGGCGCUGGAGCAGCAGCUCCUGCUCCGGAGAGAAGGCAGCGGGAGGAGGGUGCGAGGGGUGGGCUGGUUUGCCUCCGGCCAGUGGGCCUCCUUUUCAGUCAACUCCCCCCUGCUCCAGGGGGAGCCUUGAACCUGCCCUUCUCUAGGGCUCUGCUGCCGGCCCGAGCCAGCCCCUCCUGCCCGCUUGGCCUCCCCCUGCCCCCCAAGACCCACCCCAUGGCUGAGUGCUGAUGACUCUUCUGGACCCUCAGCCCUGAAGUUCAGGACUGAGGUGGGGGCACAGGGACAGCUGUGGUUCAUGCGUGUCCCCUCGGGCUCUGGUCCCACAGGUCUCCUUCUGGAGUUGGGGUCUGUGAGCUGGACCCCUCCCUCCGUGACGCCUUCCUCCCUCCUCUGCGCCCCCAGUCGUUGGCUGGGGCCUGUCCAGGGCAAAGGGCAGAUGACUGGGGGACCUCCAGGGAGCGUUGCAGGCUCUGCCAAGGCCUGGCUGCCCACCUGUUCUCUACCUGGCGGCUCCUUCCCUGCCUCCCUCCCCCCAGCCAGGGUGCCUGCCCACUUGGAGCUCUGCUUGCCCGGCCCGCCCCUCUGUGCCCCCGUCACUGGGCUCAGGAUCUUCUGGGUCCUGGCUGUGCCGCCCUCUGCCUAACAGGUUGUUUUUCCCGCUGCCUCGCCCACCUCCCACCUGCGUGCCUUUUGCCCUCCCCGUCCCCCGGUGCAAGGAAGCCCUCCCCGCUCAGGGCCGCCCAAGUUUCCAGCGGGUCUCCGGUGCCCCGGGAUAAGCCCGAGCUGGCCCGCCACCUCCCCCGGUCAUCCUCAGAUGCCUCUUCUCCCGGCCGUGGCCCCUCAGGGUCUUAGUGACGGUGGGCUACAACCAGAUUUUUGUCCUGCUCCCCUCCCCACACCCCCUAGACCCCUCGUCAUCGGGUCCUGCUGGGCCUGCCCAGAUGGCUGCCCUGUCCCCCUGAGUCCCAGGCCCUGCCCCACCCCAGGCCCCGUGGCCAGUCUGGGGGCUGCCACCCGGCCUGUCGCCUCUCUUCUUGCACCUCUUCCCAUCACGGCAUCCCCACGAGCCACCUCCCUCCACAGAAAUCCAAGCCGCAGGUGAGACUGGGCUCUGUGCCCUUUCUUGGUGGGUGUGGCUUUUCUGGGGGGGCUUGCCUUGCUGUCGCCCAACUCUCUGCCUCCCCCCGAGGUCGGCCUGUCCUCGACGCACUGGCAGCGAGCGUCGGCUGAAGAACCGGAUGGAAGAGGCGGGAGAGUCACCACGGACCGGCGUUCCUUCAGGUCGGUCGCCUGGCGUCUUCGGGCUGCGACUCCUUCCCGGAUCGGGCUGAAGCCAUCAUCUGUGUCCUCCGUCGGAAGGGACCUCAGACAUGUGGCUCCUGCACCCUCCAGCUCUGAAAUCGGCAGGCUAGGAUGCAAGUGGCCUUGCUGGGGGGCCCUUCCAAGGGCCGAGGGACCAGCCUCUCGAACGGGCUCGGCGCUCCAGUGACCUUCGCGUCCCCCUCCUCCUUGAAUUGUCUGGAAAACAGAAUGGACAGAUUUUCUGUCUUCAAAGUUUCCGGCUAAACCUCUUCAAAGUUCUUUAUUGUUUGGGACUGAGACACUCAGCAGUGCUAAUGGGUAGUUCCUUUUGUAUUUGCCCUGAAAGGCCAAAAUAUUUUUAUAUCGCUC